rnacentral:rRNA from 1 species
AUUGAACGCUGGCGGCAGGCUUAACACAUGCAAGUCGAGCGAGCGGCGGACGGGUGAGUAAUGUCUGGGAAACUGCCUGAUGGAGGGGGAUAACUACUGGAAACGGUAGCUAAUACCGCAUACCAUCAGAUGUGCCCAGAUGGGAUUAGCUAGUAGGUGGGGUAAUGGCUCACCUAGGCGACGAUCCCUAGCUGGUCUGAGAGGAUGACCAGCCACACGGGAACUGAGAAAAGGGCCAGACGCCUACGGGAGGCAGCAGUGGGGAAAAAUGGACAAUGGGCGCAAGCCUGAUGCAGGCAUGCCGCGUGUGUGAAGAAGGCCUUCGGGGUGUAAAGCACUUUCAGCGGGGAGGCGUUAACCGCAGAAGAAGCACCGGCGAACUCCGUGGCAGCAGCCGCGGUAAUAC